AUUGAACGCUGGCGGCAGGCCUAACACAUGCAAGUCGAACGGAGUGGCGGACGGGUGAGUAAUGUCUGGGAAACUGCCAGAUGGAGGGGGAUAACUACUGGAAACGGUAGCUAAUACCGCAUACUAUCAGAUGAGCCUAGGUGGGAUUAGCUAGAUGGUGAGGUAAUGGCUCACCAAGGCUACGAUCCGUAACUGGUCUGAGAGGAUGAUCAGUCACACUGGAACGGAGACACGGUCCAGACUCCUACGGGAGGCAGCAGUGGGGAAUAUUGGACAAUGGGCGAAAGCCUGAUCCAGCCAUGCCGCGUGUGUGAAGAAGGUCUUCGGAUUGUAAAGCACUUUAAGUUGGGAGGCGUUACCGACAGAAUAAGCACCGGCUAACUCUGUGCCAGCAGCCGCGGUAAUAC
rnacentral:rRNA from 1 species